rnacentral:rRNA from 1 species
UCGCUAGAGGAUGAGCUUGCGGCCUAUCAGCUAGUUGGUGAGGUAAAGGCUUACCAAGGCGAUGACGGGUAGCCGGCCUGAGAGGGUGAUCGGCCAGACUGGAACUUAGACACGGUCCAG